AUGGCAACGCUGAUUCUCUGGCCUCUACGGUUGGUACAGACAUUCUGGAAUGGGCCUAGGCAAUGCUGGCCGCCUCGACACGGUGGUCUGGAAGGCUUUCCUUGGCUUCCUCCCAUUGUUUCGCGGCUAUACCGAGGUGCGGGUCGGGUCAGGGACGGGGAGAGCACCGCCUUCUGGGAGGAUGUCAAUACUAGUAUCCUGGCCAUCUGCUUCCCCGAGCUGUUCUCGCACUUGUGGCGCCCCCAUGCUUCUGUUGCUGCUGUCGACGACGAGAUCUCCGGCCACCUCCACCUCCACCUCAUGUUCUCAUCGGCUGUUGGGGCGGAGCUCUGUGCCUGA
rnacentral:rRNA from 1 species